rnacentral:rRNA from 1 species
CCUACGGGAGGCAGCAGUGGGGGAUAUUGCACAAUGGGGGAAACCCUGAUGCAGCGACGCCGCGUGUGGGAAGACGGUCCUCUGGAUUGUAAACCACUGUCCCCAGGGACGAAGAUGACGGUACCUGGGGAGGAAGCUCCGGCUAACCACGUGCCAGCAGCCGCGGUAAUACGUAGGGAGCGAGCGUUGUCCGGAAUUACUGGGUGAAAAGGGAGCGUAGGCGGGGAUGCAAGUUGGGUGUCAAAACUACCGGCUAAACUGGUAGUCGCACUUGAAACUGCAGCUCUUGAGUGAAGUAGAGGCAGGCGGAAUUCCUGGUGUAGCGGUGAAAUGCGUAGAUAUUAGGAGGAACACCAGUGGCGAAGGCGACCUGCUGGGCUUUUACUGACGCUGAGGCUCGAAAGUGUGGGGAGCAAACAGGAUUAGAUACCCCAGUAGUC